CCUACGGUGAGCAGCAGUGAGGAAUAUUGGUCAAUGGGCGCGAGCCUGAACCAGCCAAGUCGCGUGAGGGAAGACGGUCCUAUGGAUUGUAAACCUCUUUUGUCGGGGAGCAAAAGACGCCACGCGUGGCGUUCCGAGAGUACCCGAAGAAAAAGCAUCGGCUAACUCCGUGCCAGCAGCCGCGGUAAUACGGAGGAUGCGAGCGUUAUCCGGCUUUAUUGGGGUUAAAGGGUGCGCAGGCGGAAGAUCAAGUCAGAGGGAAAAUUGAGAGGCUCAACCUCUUCGAGCCGUUGAAACUGGUUGUCGUGAGUGAGCGAGAAGUAUGCGGAAGGCGUGGUGUAGCGGUGAAAUGCAUAGAUAUCACGCAGAACUCCGAUUGCGAAGGCAGCAUACCGGCGCUCAACUGACGCUCAUGCACGAAAGUGUGGGUAUCGAACAGGAUGAGAUACCCUGGUAGUC
rnacentral:rRNA from 1 species